GACGUAGGUGGCAAGCGUUGUCCGGAGUUAUUGGGCGUAAAGCGCGCGCAGGCGGCUCGGUAAGUCCAUGGUGAAAGCGCCCGGCUCAACUGGGCGAGUGCCGUGGGGACUGCCGAGCUGGAGGGGAGCAGAGGCGAGUGGAAUUCCGGGUGUAGUGGUGAAAUGCGUAGAGAUCCGGAGGAACACCAGUGGCGAAGGCGGCUCGCUGGGCUCUACCUGACGCUGAGGCGCGAAAGCGUGGGGAGCGAACAGG
rnacentral:rRNA from 1 species